CCUACGGGUGGCUGCAGUGGGGAAUCUUGCGCAAUGGACGAAAGUCUGACGCAGCCACGCCGCGUGAGUGAAGAAGGCCUUCGGGUUGUAAAGCUCUGUCGUGCGGGACGAACAUCGGGGAGGUGAAUAGCCUUUCCGACUGACGGUACCGCAAAAGGAAGCACCGGCUAACUCUGUGCCAGCAGCCGCGGUAAUACAGAGGGUGCAAGCGUUGCUCGGAAUCAUUGGGCGUAAAGGGCAGGUAGGUGGUCUCGUUUGUCUGGGGUGAAAGCCCA
rnacentral:rRNA from 1 species